rnacentral:rRNA from 1 species
UAUUUAUUUUAUUAUAUUUAUUUUUUGUUUACUUAAUUAUUUAAUAAAAAUAAUUUUGUUGAAUUUUGUCUUAGUAUAUUUUGUAGAAUUGAUUUUUUAUAUUAUAGUUUAUUGGUAAUGUAAUUGUUUUAUGAAAUAUUAUUUUAAAUUUUUAAAAGUAGAUUUUAUUUAUUGUACCUUUUGUAUCAGGGUUUAUCAAAAUUUUAGUAUUUACUUUACUUGUCUCGAUUUGGGUUGAUUUAUAAAUAAUUUAUAGUUAAUGUAUCAUAAUUCUUAUUAAAUUAUUUAUAGAAAUGAGAUGUUAACCGUUUCCCAAGAUAUCUAGUUUCUUAAGAAAAAAUUUAAUUUUUUAAAGUUAAUUGUUUUUAUUUAAUUUUUUAAGUAUAAAUAUUAACUUAUUUAUUCUUUAAGGGAUAAGCUUUGAAGUUAAUAACCUAUAAUUUGUUUUAAUAAAAUAUAAUAGUAAGCUUUAAACCAGCUAUCUUUAAGAUUACGUUUUAGUUCAUUAUUUUUAUUUUUGAUUUUAUAACUAUUUUAGGUUUUUUAUUAAGAUUAUAAAUUUAAUUUUUAAAUUUUUGAAAUAAUGAUAGAAUUAGUAUAUUUAUUUGUAUAUAAUUUUUACCUUGUUAAUUUAUUAUAAGGAACUAGGC